AUACGUAGUGAGCGAGCGUUGUCCGGAAUUACUGGGCGUAAAGGGCGCGUAGGCGGCGCUUCAAGUCGUCUGUCAAAUGGGAGGGCUUAACCCUUUUUCGCAGACGAAACUGGAGAGCUUGAGAAGCAGAGAGGCAAACAGAAUUCCUGGUGUAGCGGUGAAAUGCGUAGAUAUCAGGAAGAAUACCAGUGGCGAAGGCGGUUUUGUAGCUGCAUACUUACGCUGAAGCGCGAAAGCCAGGGGAGCGAACGGGAUUAGAUACCCCGGUAGUCCUGGCAGUAAACGAUGUAUGCUGGGUGUGAGACUAGCGAUAGUUUCGUGCCGAAGUUAACGCGAUAAGCAUACCGCCUGGGGAGUACGGUCGCAAGAUUGAAACUCAAAUGAAUUGACGGGG
rnacentral:rRNA from 1 species